rnacentral:lncRNA from 1 species
CUUUUGCUGUGCAGCAGCUCUUUAGUUAGAUGCCAUUCGUCAAUUUUGGCUUUUGUUGCUGUUGUUUUGGUAUUUUAGUCAUGAAGUCUUUGCCCAUGCCUCUGUCCUGAAUGACAUUGCCUAGGUUUUCUUCUAGGGUUUUUAUGGUUUUGGGUUUUACAUUUAAGUCUUUAAUCCAUCUUGAGUUAAUUAUUAUACAAGGUGUAACCACAGUUACUUUUGUGUAUCCACUUGCCUGGGUCACAGGGUGCCCAGAUAUUUGGUCAAACAACUCUGGGUAUCUCUGUGAGGGUGAUUCCGGGUGAGAUUAAUGUUUCAAUAGGCAUAUUGACCAAAGCAGAUUGCCCUGCCUCAUGUGGGUGGACCUCAUCCAAUCAGUUGAAGGCUUGAAUAGAACAAAAAGUCCAACCGUCUUGUGAGUAAGAGAGAAUUCCUCCUGCCUGAAUGCCCUAGAUAGGACAUCAGUCUUUUCCUGCAUUAGGACUCAAACUGAAACCUCAGCUUUCCUUGGAUCUUAAGCCUGCUGGCCUUUGGCCUGGAACUUACACCAUUGGUUUUCAUGGUUCUUGGGCUUUCGGACUCAGACUGGAGCUACAUGCCUCCCCACCCUGUCCCAUUUUCCACAGAGCAUCCGGGGUGAUCUCAAACUACACAUCUGAUCAUGGCACCACCCUGCCUAAAAUCCUCUAAAGGCUUUUUAUUCAUCUUAGGAAAAUACCCCAAAUCCUCAACAAAGGCUGCAUGGUCUGCCCAAUGGGGCCCCUGCACUUAGCUUUAGCCACUGUAGGCUUCUUUUUAUCCAAAUGCCCUAAACUCUUUCCUGUCUCUGUGGCUUUGUACAUUCAGUUUCCCUGCCUGAAAUAGUUUUUCUUCCACCGUUUAUGAUGCUAACUCUAAUUCAUCCUUUAUUGCCUCCACUUGAGGAAAUUUCCACAAGUUUCCCAACCUGCAAUUCUAGAACAAUGGUACCAUUAUAUGUCACACCCUGCAUUUUCCUCCGCGACCAUGCGUGUUGCUAAAGGUUGCUUAUGUAAUGGUUUGUUUGAUGUUUAUUCCACCACUGCUCUGCAAUUCCAUGCACACACACACACAGAUGAUUCUCUAAACAAAACAUCUUGUUUGGGAAAACAGAAUUGCAAUUGAGGGCAUACACAGAGACGGAGGAGGUCUUCAGUAUGCUUGAAGAACAAAGGGAAGAUUGGAGGUUUUAUGAGAAAGUUCAGUGUUAGGUAUUGUUUUGGAAGAAAGCUCAUUGGCACUAGAGCUUUGAGGAGCUGGCAAGCCCUGACUGGUGAGUGACGACAAUAGGUAAAACUAGUCUUAGGGUGGUCAUGGCAGGUCGUUUCAGCAGCUACCAGGUAAAACAUACCUAAGGGUUACAGCAGGUCGUUUCAGCAGCUGGGCUUGGGGAUGAUUCCUGAAGCAGGUGCUAUGUGCCUUGAGUGCUUUUCCCUCCCAGGUCCCUUGACUUUUAUUUAGUUGGGUAUGACAAAAAUAACUCAAUUUCUAUAAUCAAUUCUCACAGUGCUGGCUCAGUGUCCUCUGACACCCCACCCUCCCUAACCUAGGCAUGCAGAGAGCAAGUCAAAGAGUCUUGGCACCAAGUUUCACUGCCCAGAACGCUCAGGUAAGCAACUGGGAAGUGUCAUGGAAAGAGGAUGAUGUGCGAGGGACUUCAGCCCCUGAGUAACAGUGCAGGGCGAACGUCGGAGGAACUCAGGACCAUUCAUUGCCUUUCCGUGUGGGUCUGUCUGAUGAUUUACAUAGAAAAGGGAGCAUGGAACGAGAAGUAGUGAUCUGAUUCUGAUGACAGACACUGGAAAACUUUGAAAAUGAAAAGAGGAAAACACAUGUUUAAAAAUGGCUUUUGUGCUGGGCACGGUGGC